UUACAUUCAAAUCCAUGCAUAACCAGUUUGUCAUAGAAAAUGCAGCCUGCUCCAAAUCCUUCAAUAUCCAAUAGCAUAUCUAGCCUGCUCCAAAGGCUAGUCCUCUCCAUCUCAAAUGUAGCCUACAACACAACCAUAAAACCCAUAAAACACUCAUUAGCACACACGCACAAUCAGUCAACUCCCCUGUCGCCUGCAAACCAAUGAACCAUGAGGCAGAUGACCAUCAGAAAACUUGCUACAGAAAGUUGUUUCCAUUUCCCAUGUCCAUAGAAAUUGACACGAACAGAGUAUUCCUAUGCACAAAUUCCAGUGCUCCAGAAGAAUUGAACUUGGCAAGCAAUUAUCAUGGGGGGGCUUACAGGUCACUACAACCUGACUGCCCGAGUUUCUACUCGAGUAGAAAAGAACUAACAGAACAACACAACCAUACUCAUUUUGCUAUAUACAAGUCCACUGCAGGACUUUGUACUGGAUUAGAAAAAAACUAACAGAUCCAUCUGACCAUUCCCUUUGAGAAAAUAUGAGAAAAGGGAGCUAGCAGGUGCAAAAUUAGAAACAUGAUCAUGUAGUAUUUUUUCUAACCAAAUAACAAUAAAGAGUAAAUCAGCCGCUAGCAGGUGAUUUGCUAACAUAAGAUAUGCACAUGAAAGAGACCUAGCAAGGCAAUUCUAAGAGGAGGGUAACCAUGUUCGGGUCCCUGGGGGCAGGAAACCCUUGCAAGUCACCCUCUGCACCCGCUAGCAGACCUAGUAGAAGCAGGGGCUGGAGGCGUGGGAUUGGGGGACGGCGUCGCCCUCGGCCUUCUCCCCGCCGAAGGGCGCUCCGAU
rnacentral:lncRNA from 1 species